UGAGUGGUGAUCGGAUAGCUA
rnacentral:siRNA from 1 species